GACAGAGGGUGCAAGCGUUGUUCGGAAUUAUUGGGCGUAAAGGGCGCGUAGGCGGCCACUCAAGUCGAAUGUGAAACCUCGAGGCUCAACCCCAAGCCUGCACUGGAUACUGCCUCGCUUGAGUCCGGGAGGGGAGAGCGGAAUUCCUAGUGUAGCGGUGAAAUGCGCAGAUAUUAGGAAGAACACCGGUGGCGAAGGCGGCUCUCUGGAACGGUACUGACGCUGAGACGCGAAAGCGUGGGGAGCGAACAGG
rnacentral:rRNA from 1 species